rnacentral:tmRNA from 1 species
GGGGAUGAAAUGGUUUCGACAGGGAAGUGGAAGGGUACAGAUUGCGAGUCGAGUUGUUCUAACUCGUUAAACUGGGACAAAACAAUAAUUGCCGAGAAAGUAACAACUUUCGGUCGCUCCUACAACGCUAUGCCCCUCGCGGCAUAAGCUAGUUAGCGAGCAACUCUGGCUCUCAUAAAAGAGCCUCGUCCGUGCUUCGCUUAUCCCCAAGAGAGGGGUACGGACGUCAGAUAAAUUGGGGUGCUCUGAAGCAACGCCGGUAAGCUUCAGCUAAGACCAACCGGCUGGUUCAGACGAACUUUGGUGACUAACGAAGUCUGAACGAGAAAACUGAAGUUCACCUACACUCGUAGACGUUUGUAGCCAGCUUCUGUGGACGCGAGUUCGACUCUCGCCAUCUCCACAC